rnacentral:rRNA from 1 species
UACGUAGGGGGCGAGCGUUGUCCGGAUUUAUUGGGCGUAAAGAGCUCGUAGGCGGUUUGGUAAGUUGGAUGUGAAAUCUCCAGGCUCAACUUGGAGGGGUCAUUCGAUACUGCCAUGACUAGAGUUCGGUAGGGGAGUGUGGAAUUCCUGGUGGAGCGGUGAAAUGCGCAGAUAUCAGGAGGAACACCGGUGGCGAAGGCGGCACUCUGGGCCGGUACUGACGCUGAGGAGCGAAAGCGUGGGGAGCGAACAGG